CAUCAUUUCAUAUGUUGGAAACUGGUUACCUCGCUAGGUGACGCUGUCGCUUUAAGAGCUUCUUCCUGGCAGAUCCCGCACUACGCCUAGCUGUCGCGGGACUUUAGAAACAAGGAAGUCGGGAGGUUACCGGUAGUUUGGAGUGUGUGUUCCUGCACUUUUAUAAGGAAAUAUCCAGGUCUGUUGAAUGUGUCCUAAAUGUGUGUGAACCCCACUGCGCUGAGGGAGAACUGAACAGCGGGACAGCAGGGGAGAAAAGGCACAGAAGAAAGCCGUGAUUUGCUUCCGGGUGUGUUUGGCGCGCCAGCAGCACACCGGAGUGAGAG